CCUCACCACUUGGCUGCCCCAUUGUGGACAUGACAUAAUGGGCUUGUUAAAAAUCUUCUUGAUGCCCAUAGGGUUACAAGAAAAUCUAUUAUUACGGAAAGUUAAAAAAAGAAAACUGAAUUCUAGCCAGCUCAGAAAUUACCACGCAUGAGCUGAUCCUGAUAUAUCCUGCCACCUCGCUCACAACUCAUUCAUUAUCAUUAUAGACCUAAAUAAAUCCUUGAAAGGACCAUGAUGGCCUGAUGGAUACGAUAAAAACUCAGUGAGAACAGGAUGGAGAUUUAAAUGUAGGCUAUAUUUCAAUGUAAAUAUUUUUCAGAAAUUUUGAAGUUUGAUAGUUUAUUACUUAUAAAGAUUUAUAAUGUUUUUUUAGUUUAUAAACAGACAUGAUUAUGUAAUCUGCUUUUUUAGGUAAAUUACAUCAAACCGACAACAUAAUAGAAGUAUUCUUUCACGCUCCAAAUUAUUCCCUUCUAGCGAUCACGUCAAAAGUAUUUGAUUUCGCUAACGUUAUAGACGAAUUACUACAAAACUCUGAAUUUUCGGAGAAGUUCAACAACAUAUCGGAAAUUACUGCCGAGAAUUUCAGAAAAAUCUUAGAAGAAUUUGGUUUGAGUGUUUCAAAGAACAUUCAAUUUCAAUUUAGGCACUGCGAUUUUUCAUCUAAAUUCAGAACAAUCGACGGUUCCUGUAAUAAUAUAUUUAAGCCAUUUUUAGGUAAAACUAACGAAGUUUUCAAUAGAUUAAUUCCUGCAACAUACGAAGAUGAUAUAAAUACUGUAAGAAAAAUGAAAAAUGGCGAAGACUUACCUAAUCCUCUUCUGGUUAGUCGUAUUUUGACUUCUGACGAAUACGAUAGUAAAAUUGAUGUAUAUAUUUCUCAUAACUCAUUGUUUGUCAAUUGGGGACAAUUCCUCUCUCACGAUUUAACAUUUUCUUCUACGUUUUCCACGUCGAAUGGCUUCGGAGCGAGAUGCUGCGAAGGUAACAAGCAUCCAGAAUGCAUACCAUUAGCAAUGAGAUUUGAAAAUAAUUACGUUGAUAGUAAUUAUUGUUUCAAUUUUAUGAGAUCCGUCAGUUCUCUCAGGAAGAAAGUUGAUAAUCCUCUAGUAUCUCAACGUGAACAAUUAAACAAGUUGACAGCCUUUAUAGAUGCUUCAAAUGUUUAUGGAACCACUGUAGAAGAACUACGAUUUCUUAGAGAUUUAAACGGACAUAGAGCCAUGUUGAAAUCUGAAAGGACUACAUACGAAAUACCCAUUCGUUCUGAAACAUCGUGCAGAACUUCUGUUCCAAACUGUGAAAAUAAAUGCUUACUAUUAGGAGAACAAAGAGCAUCAGUGACAUCAGGCUUAAUGGGUAUUCAUACUUUAUGGCUUCGAGAACACAAUAGAUUGGUGAAAAAAUUACAGGAUAAAUUUUCAAAUAAAGAAAUAUUAUUUCAAGAAGUAAGAAAAAUUAUUGGAGCCAUGAUGCAGCAUAUAGUAUACGACGAAUAUUUACCAUUGCUUCUUGACCAUGAGACAAUGAAGAGCAAGGAGUUAUAUGUUCCAACUAAGGACUACAAAUAUGAUCCUUCAAUAUCGCCAAACAUCUUGAAUAGUUUUUCUACAGCUGCUUUUCGAUUUGGUCACAGUAUGGUUAAUCGAAGAGUCAAAAAAGCAUUCUCUAAAAGUACAGGCCGACGUCUAGUAACAGAUUUCUUUAACGUCAAUGACUUUUGCAACAGUACAAUUGAUCCCGUUCAUAAUAUUUUACUUGGAUUAAUGCAACAGGAGGCAAAUUUAGUUGAUAACGUGUUUACAAAAGAACUUACUCAUUAUUUGUUUGCAAAUUCUGAGAAUUCCCCCGGACACGAUUUGGUAGCCUUCGAUAUUUUAAGAGGAAGAGAUCAUGGAUUAGCUCCAUACAAUUCUUGGAGAAGAAGAUGCAAUCUUUCUUCCGCAACAAGUUAUGACGACAUGGAGUUGUUUAUGAAAAGCAAUGUAAUAAAUAAAAUUAAAACAAUAUAUAAAGAUUAUAGAGAUGUAGAAUUGUUUGUAGGAGGGAUAAGUGAAAAACCAGUCCCAGGUAGCAUCGUAGGACCAACUUUUGGAUGUAUUAUAGCGGAACAGUUUCGAAGACUUAAAUUUGGAGAUCGAUUCUGGUACGAAAAUACGAAAACUCCGGGAUCUUUCACGCAAGAACAAAUACGUGAAAUCAGAAAAACUACAGUAGCUUCACUAAUUUGCAGAAACACUAAUGUAGAAGUAAUCCUCCCAAAUGCAUUUUUAACUUACAGUUUAACCAAUAAGCCCACAACUUGUAAAUAUAUCAACGAAAUAGCUAAUAUGAACCUCAGCUAUUGGUGAAAUGCGAUUCAUUAUUAAUCCCGAAAUAAUGAUUUAAUUCACUACAUUUUUUAAUUGGCAUAUUUAGAGUCUGGCGGAACACAUAACGGAUUUGAUAAAAGAGGCCCUUUUAGUAUCCACAGAGCGGAAAGUUAAGAAAAGAAAAAAAAUGACGUGUUAUAUGAAAAUAAAAUUUAAAAUAGAAUGAAUUUUGAGAAUUAUUUCUUAGUGUGGGAAAAAAAAAUCUGUUCUUUCUUUUUAAAUCUUUAAACACAUUUUCGAGCCGAUAAGAUGAUAGGCCUACACCUGAAAUAUCAGUCAACCACUUAUGACUAAUCUAUACCUUAUAAUUUACACAACUGUACAUAGUUCGGGUCGAGGUAUAGGGACCUGAACCAGUAUUUGUAUGAUAAAAUUUUAAUUAUGAAGCAGGAAAAAAAAUUGUGAACGAAGGAAAGAAAAAACGCUAAAACCGAGAACUUUCCAUCAAAAUAAGGCUUAGAGAGGCUCUGAGGGCCUUAUGUAAUCGCUCUCCAUCUUCCUUCAAGGCAUUAUUUCAUGCUUUCACUCAUAUGAUCGAUCCUGUUGCGAGUCCUCUUAUAAUGAACACAGAUAAGGAUCAUCUGUUGCAUUCCACAUUUGUGGGAUAGACAUCAUUGUGAAUCAGGUUUGUUCAUAAUGAGCAAACGCGUUGAUAAUCGAAUAAAUUUUGUGGAAUUGUGGUAAUAUAAUUUGUUAAUCCGCUCAUCUAUGCUAUCGACCCCGUUGAAGUUACGUUCUUGCAUAAGUGGCAAAAUUAAGGAUGACCUUGUAGAAUACAUGCUCAUUAAUAUUCGUUAAAUCAAACGAUACAGAAAUCCGAUUUAUAUAUACAGUAUUUACAUUCUCUUUAUUAGGACCAAAACCCGAAAUCUGGCCAGUGCACGAAACUAUCAUCAGCUUAUUUUUUAACUCUCUUUGUCUUGUAAACACCAAGAGGAUCCUUUUUCAACAAGCCCAUUAUGAGUUUGUGCGGCCGGCUGAUCAGGCACAGGACCGACUUGCCUGGUGUUUUUCGACCCGUCCGGAUUCGAUCCCAAAUUCCCCAUAGUAAGAGUAGAUUACUACCUUAACAACUCUAUCAUCCGGCCACCACGUUUUGAACUUUGGCCAGAAAAUUUUAGUACCGGUCAAAAAAUUGCCCAGUGUAAAAAGUUUGGUUUU
rnacentral:misc_RNA from 1 species